GCGAAUGGCUCAUUACAACAGCCUUAAUUUACUUGACCUUGACAACCUACUUGGAUAACUGUGGUAAUUCUAGAGCUAAUACAUGCACCAAAGCUCCGAUCCUCGCGGAGAGGAGCGUAUUUGUUCGCCACAAAACCAAGCGCCCUUCUGGGCGUCCAGUGCUGAACCAGAACAACUCAGCUGAUCGCACGGUCUUGCACCGGCGACGUGUCUUUCAAGUGUCUGCCUUAUCAACUUUCGAUGGUAGUGUACCUGACUACCAUGGUUGUGACGGGUAACGGAGGAUAAGGGUUCGACUCCGGAGAAGGGGCCUGAGAAAUGGCCACUACGUCUAAGGAUGGCAGCAGGCGCGCAAAUUACCCACUCUCAACGCGAGGAGGUAGUGACGAGAAAUAACAAGACCGUUCUCCUACGAGGCCGGUUAUUGGUAUGGGUACAAUUUAAACCCUUUAACGAGUAUCUAUGAGAGGGCAAGUCUGGUGCCAGCAGCCGCGGUAAUUCCAGCU
rnacentral:rRNA from 1 species